UGCAAGUCGAACGGUAACAGGUCUUCGGACGCUGACGAGUGGCGAACGGGUGAGUAAUACAUCGGAACGUGCCCAGUCGUGGGGGAUAACUACUCGAAAGAGUAGCUAAUACCGCAUACGAUCUGAGGAUGAAAGCGGGGGACCUUCGGGCCUCGCGCGAUUGGAGCGGCCGAUGGCAGAUUAGGUAGUUGGUGGGAUAAAAGCUUACCAAGCCGACGAUCUGUAGCUGGUCUGAGAGGACGACCAGCCACACUGGGACUGAGACACGGCCCAGACUCCUACGGGAGGCAGCAGUGGGGAAUUUUGGACAAUGGGCGAAAGCCUGAUCCAGCAAUGCCGCGUGCAGGAUGAAGGCCUUCGGGUUGUAAACUGCUUUUGUACGGAACGAAAAAGCUUCUCCUAAUACGAGGGGCCCAUGACGGUACCGUAAGAAUAAGCACCGGCUAACUACGUGCCAGCAGCCGCGGUAAUACGUAGGGUGCGAGCGUUAAUCGGAAUUACUGGGCGUAAAGCGUGCGCAGGCGGUUAUGUAAGACAGAUGUGAAAUCCCCGGGCUCAACCUGGGAACUGCAUUUGUGACUGCAUGGCUAGAGUACGGUAGAGGGGGAUGGAAUUCCGCGUGUAGCAGUGAAAUGCGUAGAUAUGCGGAGGA
rnacentral:rRNA from 1 species